UAUGAUAUGAGGGUAGGUUAGUGGUAGACAUGUCUGUAUGUAGUGUUAUGAUAUGAGGGUAGGUUAGUGGUAGACAUGUCUGUAUGUAGUGUUAUGAUAUGAGGGUAGGUUAGUGGUAGACAUGUCUGUAUGUAGUGUUAUGAUAUGAGGGGUAGGUUAGUGUUAUGAUAUGAGGGUAGGUUAGUGGUAGACAUGUCUGUAUGUAGUGUUAUGAUAUGAGGGUAGGUUAGUGGUAGACAUGUCUGUAUGUAGUGUUAUGAUAUGAGGGUAGGUUAGUGGUAGACAUGUCUGUAUGUAGUGUUAUGAUAUGAGGGUAGGUUAGUGGUAGACAUGUCUGUAUGUAGUGUUAUGGUAUGAGUGUAGGUUAGUGUUAGACAUGUCUGUAUGUAGUGUUAUGAUAUGAGGGUAGGUUAGUGGUAGACAUGUCUGUAUGUAGUGUUAUGAUAUGAGGGGUAGGUUAAUGUUAUGAUAUGAGGGUAGGUUAGUGGUAGACAUGUCUGUAUGUAGUGUUAUGAUAUGAGGGUAGGUUAGUGGUAGACAUGUCUGUAUGUAGUGUUAUGAUAUGAGGGUAGGUUAGUGGUAGACAUGUCUGUAUGUAGUGUUAUGAUAUGAGGGGUAGGUUAGUGUUAUGAUAUGAGGGUAGGUUAGUGGUAGACAUGUCUGUAUGUAGUGUUAUGAUAUGAGGGUUUAUUAGUGUUAUGAUAUGAGGGUAGGCUAGUGUUAUGAUAUGAGGGUAGGUUAGUGGUAGACAUGUCUGAAUGUAGUGUUAUGAUAUGAGGGUAGGUUAGUGUUAUGAUAUGAGGGUAGGUUAGUGUUAGACAUGUCUGUAUGUAGUGUUAUGAUAUGAGGGUAGGUUAGUGGUAGACAUGUCUGUAUGUAGUGUUAUGAUAUGAGGGUAGGUUAGUGUUAUGAUAUGAGGGUAGGUUAGUGUUAGACAUGUCUGUAUGUAGUGUUAUGAUAUGAGGGGUAGGUUAGUGGUAG
rnacentral:lncRNA from 1 species